AGUGAACGCUGGCGGUAGGCCUAACACAUGCAAGUCGAACGGCAGCACAGUAAGAGCUUGCUCUUACGGGUGGCGAGUGGCGGACGGGUGAGGAAUACAUCGGAAUCUACUUUUUCGUGGGGGAUAACGUAGGGAAACUUACGCUAAUACCGCAUACGACCUACGGGUGAAAGCAGGGGAUCUUCGGACCUUGCGCGAUUGAAUUAGCCGAUGUCGGAUUAGCUAGUUGGCGGGGUAAAGGCCCACCAAGGCGACGAUCCGUAGCUGGUCUGAGAGGAUGAUCAGCCACACUGGAACUGAGACACGGUCCAGACUCCUACGGGAGGCAGCAGUGGGGAAUAUUGGACAAUGGGCGCAGGCCUGAUCCAGCCAUACCGCGUGGGUGAAGAAGGCCUUCGGGUUGUAAAGCCCUUUUGUUGGGAAAGAAAAGCAGCAGGUUAAUACCCCGCUGUUCUGACGGUACCCAAAGAAUAAGCACCGGCUAACUUCGUG
rnacentral:rRNA from 1 species